rnacentral:lncRNA from 1 species
CUGGGAUUAAGAAAGUAGAUAUUUUCAAAAAUAGGACACUACAUUGCAUACACAUUAACCAACAAUUCGUGGCAAUCUUUGCUGAAUAAUUAGUAUGUGCUGGACACUGAAAGAUGCAAGAAAUAAUGUCUGAGGGCUGGGCAGAGGGUUCAUUGUAUUAAGUGCCUGCUCUGAAAGUAUGUGAGAGCUAGAAUUUGAAUCCAUAGAAUCCAGAUGAAAACUAGUCAGAUGUGGCAACUGACUUGCGACAGGAGGCUGAGAAGGCAUCCCCAGGUCAAGAUAUCUUCAGUAAAUAAAGGGGAUAUUAAUCAAAUAGGACACCUGAUAUCAGUGUCUGAACUCGACAUAUGCAUUUAAACAUGUGUACCUGCACUUACAUGCACCCACAUAAAUGUGACUACACACUGACACAUUCAUGCACCACACACACACACAUCCAUCCAUCCAUAGAGGGGAAAGGGAGAAACAGA